GUAUUCGGUCCACACGAUAAAAGUAAGCGGUCUUAAAGUGUUACUGUGACAGUUAAUUCCCCAAUACAUCUAAGAAAUAAAUAUCGCAACGAUUGAUAACAAAAAACUUCAGGUCCGCUUCAGGGUCGAGGAGAAGCUUCGUGAGAUCGACCCGGAUGUGUCGCUAGCGUAUUGGGACUACACCAUGAAUUACCUCCUGCCACUUCCGUCGGACUCUGUCAUCUGGAGCUCCUGCUUUGCCGGCAACGGCAAUGGCGUGGUUAGUGAGGGUCCCUUCCGGUUUAUGUACGGCGGCUUCAACGAGCUUAUCAGGCGCGACAUCGCGCGGCACGGAACCUGUCCGCCUCGGUUGAUAAACAAGGACGAUAUUGACCAGCUAAUGAGGUUUUGCUAUUAUGCGAAUAUAACGACCGGAAAUCCGCCGAACUACUACCAGCAGGUUAACAAUCUCGAGGUCCUACACGAUGGUGUCCACAACUGGGUCGGCGGAGAUAUGUCUUACGUACGGCACGCGCCCUAAGACCCCGUGUUUUACAUGCACCAUACCGUCAUCGACUACAUCUGGGAGCAGUACCGGUCCCGACAGACCUCCUUAAGAUGCCGAGUGGACGUCGAGAGAGACUACCGGGAACCAGGCGACUACGCAGUCGGCAACUUCCCCGGUCACGCUCCCUGGGAGGAGAUGCACGGAUUCGAGUACCUGCAGAACCGCGCCGGUCUCUGGCGCAACUGGACCACAGCCGUGUACGGCUACGAAGAGGCUCCGAGGUGCCCCGAGUGCGGCAAUAAAGAGAACCUCUACUGCGACAGGGGUAUUGACCCGCGCCGUCCGGAAGGCGUGUGCGUCACAAAAACGAAGUUCUUCUGCAUCGACCCCCCGUUAACGGACUUUGAUAGAGAUAAGCCGUUUGAAGAGCCGCUAGGUGGCGGUGCCACACUCAUGCAGGGCACUAUACACAAGGGGCUGCCAGGGGACGGUCGUUCCAGAUUCAUGUCGCAGGAAGAAGGUCUUGCAAUUCUCAGAGAGCAGAUGUGGCACGUGACCGGGUCAACACCAUAUGUAACGUACAAGGUAAAGGGACCAGGAGCACCGGAGAACGGCGAGCCAACGCUGACAUUAAAUCUGCACGAGGAAUUGUUCGCCAUUUCUAGUGCUGACAGCCAGGGUGCACUCGAUGCGUUCGAGGCCAUUAAUCGGGCUCUGUUGACCACUACUGCCGCAAUUCUUGUCUGCCCAGUGUUAUUUCAUUAAUUUAUGUAGCGAAAUACUGUCAUUUGUAUUGCUUGAAUACAUAAGUUGCGAAGAAACUUAACACUUAUUUUAGUUGACAGCUUCCUUAAUGUGAAUGGCUGCUUAAUUAUCAUUUAUUUUUAAGAAUAAAUUGUAAUUUUUAAAAAACAUAGUAAGUUCUGAUCAGUUGAAAUAUGUGUCAAAAUACGGUAAAUAUUAAAAAUUAGGAAACAAGCGUGGCGUAAAACACGUUUGUUUUGAAAUGUUAUCAAGUAUGUAUGUAUCAGAGUUUAUUUACAGGUCCUACUGGCCACUUCACGAGGUCUUUGCAGCCCGACCUGUAUAAUGUUAUCAAGUUUAAAUUCGAGCAGUUUGAUUCGGACCAUAACAUUACGAUGUUUUUACGCUCUAUACGUUGUUAUGUGUAGACUGUUUUUGUAUAAAAUUAAUAACAGCUUUAUCUAAAACCGUUAAUUUGAAUAAAAAGAUUUUACGAUGUUGUAAUAUAACACAGUAAUAUCUCUGCAGAUAAAUGUAGAUUUUUUAAAUUUCAUUUUUUUCUGUAGGUUGAAACCUUGGAAUCCAAAGCCAGAAAGGAUUUUUUUUAAUCAAAGUUUAUUUACAGGUCCUACCGGCCUCUUCACGAGGUCUUUGAGGUCCGACCUGCCACGAGAGCCAGAAAGGAAGUGAUCUCAGAACUAUUUAUAGAAUGGGCAAUAACUCUUAUAAAUCAGGAAAGAGAACUCUAGUUCAUCAACAUAUAGUAUGCUCAAGAUACUCUCCAUUGAAGGGUCCACGUUUCUGAUAUUGGGCGGUAUGAAAAAACGAAAGAUCAAAAUGCAGAGCAAAAACUGGAAGACCAACGUCUUCAACAUUUUGUUAUAAUGUACAUAUAGGAUAAUAAAAGAUGUAUAAAUGAGUAAAAAGCUUAAGUAUGUUAAAUAAGUACCAGCAGCCGAUAUGUUUUAUUUUGUGAAAAGUUUAAUACGAAACUACAAUGCCAUUUUUGUUGUUUUGUUUCAGUAUACAUUCAACUUAUUUUGUUUUUAUGCAGCUUUUAGGGUUCAAUGAUGUUUACUCAAAUUGCCGGCAUGUAAUUUUUGUAUUAAUAUUGCUCGGAUAGAAACAACUAAUUAUAUGUUGAAUAUUUAACAAAGUCAUAAACAUACAUUAAAAGAAGCAAUGUUGACUAUGCAGAUAUUUGUUUUGUGCUUUGAGUUGUGAUUUUAAUAUUGUUA